rnacentral:rRNA from 1 species
UACGAAGGGGCUAGCGUUGUUCGGAUUUACUGGGCGUAAAGCGCACGUAGGCGGAUCGUUAAGUCGGGGGUGAAAUCCUGGAGCUCAACUCCAGAACUGCCUUCGAUACUGGCGAUCUAGAGUCCGGAAGAGGUGAGUGGAACUCCUAGUGUAGAGGUGGAAUUCGUAGAUAUUAGGAAGAACACCAGUGGCGAAGGCGGCUCACUGGUCCGGUACUGACGCUGAGGUGCGAAAGCUAGGGGAGCAAACAGG